UACGAAGGGGGCUAGCGUUGCUCGGAAUCACUGGGCGUAAAGCGCACGUAGGCGGACUCUUAAGUCGGGUGUGAAAGCCCCGGGCUCAACCUGGGAAUUGCAUUCGAGACUGAAUAGCUAGGGUACGGUAGAGGGAAGUGGAAUUUCCGGUGUAGCGGUGAAAUGCGUAGAUAUCGGGAAGGAACAUCAGUGGCGAAAGCGACUUCCUGGACCAGUACCGACGUUCAGGCACGAAAGCGUGGGGAGCAAACAGG
rnacentral:rRNA from 1 species